rnacentral:rRNA from 1 species
GGCCGCAGAAUCUUGACUGUGCAAAGGUAGCAUAAUCACUAGUUUUUUAAUUGGAAGCUUGAAUGAAUGGUUGGACGAGACACUAGCUGUUUCACAUUAAGUAUUAGAAUUUUAUUUUUUGGUAAAAAAGCCUAAAUUUUUUUAAAAGACGAGAAGACCCUAUAGAUCUUUAUAGUUAUUAUAUUAUUUAUUGUUAGGAUUUUUAUUUAUUUAUGUGUAUGAUACUAUUUUGCUGGGGUGGCAGGUGAAUUUAAUUAACUUUUUUUAUUUUAUUUACAUUUAUUUAUGAUAGUAUUGAUCCUCUUUGAGAUUAAAAAUUUAAGUUACCUUAGGGAUAACAGCGUAAUCUUUUCGGAGAGUUCAUAUCGAUGGGAAGGAUUGCGACCUCGAUGUUGGAUUAA